rnacentral:rRNA from 1 species
AUGCACGCUGGCGGCGUGCCUAAUCCAUGCCAGUCGAGCGAACAGACGAGGAGCUUGCUCCUCUGACGUUAGCGGCGGACGGGUGAGUAACACGUGGAUAACCUACCUAUAAGACUGGGAUAACUUCGGGAAACCGGAGCUAAUACCGGAUAAUAUAUUGAACCGCCUGGUUCAAUAGUGAAAGACGGUUUUGCUGUCACUUAUAGAUGGAUCCGCGCCGCAUUAGCUAGUUGGUAAGGUAACGGCUUACCAAGGCGACGAUGCGUAGCCGACCUGAGAGGGUGAUCGGCCACACUGGAACUGAGACACGGUCCAGACUCCUACGGGAGGCAGCAGUAGGGAAUCUUCCGCAAUGGGCGAAAGCCUGACGGAGCAACGCCGCGUGAGUGAUGAAGGUCUUCGGAUCGUAAAACUCUGUUAUUAGGGAAGAACAAAUGUGUAAGUAACUAUGCACGUCUUGACGGUACCUAAUCAGAAAGCCACGGCUAACUACGUG